CUGUCGAGGAGGAGCUGGAUGAAAUGUGUCUGUAGAGGAGGAGCUGGAUGAAAUGUGUCUGUAGAGGAGGAGCUGCAUGGAAUGUGUCUGUAGAGGAGGAGCUGGAUGGAAUGUCCCUGUAGAGGAGGAGCUGGAUGAAAUGACGCUGGAGCUCCACAGGCAGGGUCCCUCCAUAGCUGUGGAAAGUGAAGAAGGCAUUGAAGAUGACUAUUUUUUGGAGAGGCCUGAUGCCCGAAUUUCAGUUUGGCACUUACAGCGAAUCUGAGAGGAAAACCGAGGAGUACGAUACUCAGGCCAUGAAGUACUUGUCAUACCUGCUGUACCCUCUCUGUGUCGGGGGUGCUGUCUAUUCACUCCUGAAUAUCAAAUAUAAGAGCUGGUACUCCUGGUUAAUCAACAGCUUCGUCAACGGGGUCUAUGCCUUUGGUUUCCUCUUCAUGCUGCCCCAGCUCUUUGUGAACUACAAGUUGAAGUCAGUGGCACAUCUGCCCUGGAAGGCCUUCACCUACAAGGCUUUCAACACCUUCAUUGAUGACGUCUUUGCCUUCAUCAUCACCAUGCCCACGUCUCACCGGCUGGCCUGCUUCCGGGACGACGUGGUGUUUCUGGUCUACCUGUACCAGCGGUG
rnacentral:misc_RNA from 1 species